GUCCAGACUCCUACGGGAGGCAGCAGUGGGGAAUAUUGCACAAUGGGGGAAACCCUGAUGCAGCGACGCCGCGUGGGCGACGAAGCGCUCCGGCGCGUAAAGCCCUAUCGGCAGGGAAGAAGGAGGACGGUACCUGACUAAGAAGCCCCGGCUAACUACGUGCCAGCAGCCGCGGUAAUACGUAGGGAGCAAGCGUUAUCCGGAUUUACUGGGUGUAAAGGGCGCGUAGGCGGGAUGGCAAGUCAGAUGUGAAAUCCAAGGGCUCAACCCUUGAACUGCAUUUGAAACUGUCGUUCUUGAGUACUGGAGAGGUUGACGGAAUUCCUAGUGUAGCGGUGAAAUGCGUAGAUAUUAGGAGGAACACCAGUGGCGAAGGCGGUCAACUGGACAGCAACUGACGCUGAGGCGCGAAAGCGUGGGGAGCAAACAGGAUUAGAUACCCCAGUA
rnacentral:rRNA from 1 species